rnacentral:rRNA from 1 species
UGCAGUCGAGCGAACAGAUGAGAAGCUUGCUUCUCUGAUGUUAGCGGCGGACGGGUGAGUAACACGUGGGUAACCUACCUAUAAGACUGGGAUAACUCCGGGAAACCGGGGCUAAUACCUGAUAAUAUUUUGAACCGCAUGGUUCAAUAGUGAAAGACGGCUUCGGCUGUCACUUAUAGAUGGACCCGCGCCGUAUUAGCUAGUUGGUAAGGUAAUGGCUUACCAAGGCGACGAUACGUAGCCGACCUGAGAGGGUGAUCGGCCACACUGGAACUGAGACACGGUCCAGACUCCUACGGGAGGCAGCAGUAGGGAAUCUUCCGCAAUGGGCGAAAGCCUGACGGAGCAACGCCGCGUGAGUGAUGAAGGUCUUAGGAUCGUAAAACUCUGUUGUUAGGGAAGAACAAAUUUGUUAGUAACUGAACAAGUCUUGACGGUACCUAACCAGAAAGCCACGGCUAACUACGUGCCAGCAGCCGCGGUAAUACGUAGGUGGCAAGCGUUAUCCGGAAUUAUUGGGCGUAAAGCGCGCGUAGGCGGUUUCUUAAGUCUGAUGUGAAAGUCCACGGCUCAACCGUGGAAGGUCAUUGGAAACUGGGGAACUUGAGUGCAGAAGAGGAGAGUGGAAUUCCAUGUGUAGCGGUGAAAUGCGCAGAGAUAUGGAGGAACACCAGUGGCGAAGGCGGCUCUCUGGUCUGUAACUGACGCUGAUGUGCGAAAGCGUGGGGAUCAAACAGGAUUAGAUACCCUGGUAGUCCACGCCGUAAACGAUGAGUGCUAAGUG